rnacentral:rRNA from 1 species
GACGAACGCUGGCGGCGUGCUUAACACAUGCAAGUCGAACGGUAAGGCCCUUCGGGGUACACGAGUGGCGAACGGGUGAGUAACACGUGGGUGAUCUGCCCUGCACUUCGGGAUAAGCCUGGGAAACUGGUCUAAUACCGGAUAGGACCGCGCACUGGUGGUGUGUGGUGGAAAGCUUUUGCGGUGUGGGAUGGGCCCGCGGCCUAUCAGCUUGUUGGUGGGGUAAUGGCCUACCAAGGCGACGACGGGUAGCCGGCCUGAGAGGGUGUCCGGCCACACUGGGACGGAGAUACGGCCCAGACUCCUACGGGAGGCAGCAGUGGGGAAUAUUGCACAAUGGGCGCAAGCCUGAUGCAGCGACGCCGCGUGGGGGAUGACGGCCUUCGGGUUGUAAACCUCUUUCAGUAGGGACGAAGCGCAAGUGACGGUACCUACAGAAGAAGCACCGGCCAACUACGUGCCAGCCGCCGCGGUAA